ensembl:lncRNA
UUAAAGAUCUCUGCUGACAGGAGAUGUUGCUGUAUUCCUAGGUACAUGUUUCCAGUGGCUAAUUAUUUUCACCUCAAGAUUUACACAUGGUGUCUUGCCUGAGGCUGUGGCAAUGUUUUCAGAAGAAAUUUCUGAUGCUGAGGCCAGGAACGAGGUACCGACAGAAAGGUGACAGAUCGGUGUGCUCCAGGGAUGUCACUGCUCCUUGGCCCUUCCACUCCACUCGUUGUUUUUGGUUGUUGCAUGUGUCUCUCUGCCCCAGGAAAGUCACCGUGCCCUUCUCAGAAGGACAGAGAGCAGUGGCUCCUGCAGGACAUGCGUGCUCUGAAGCUCCAAAGUAGGUGGGAGAAAGCUGAGCUGUUCAAAUUAUAGAGCAUGAAGUGCAGGUGACAGGGAGAAAGUGCUCCACAGCUGAGCUUGGCCGAGGCAGCCCUUUGCUUGCAAUGAAUUAUCCAGUGACAUGGCCAGUCAGUCACCCCUGGGUGAGCUGGGACCCUGCAUUGCCCCAUCCCUGGAGGUGUCCAAGGCCAGGCUGGAUGGGGCUUUGAGCAACCUGGUCUGGUGGGAGGUGUCCCUGCCCAUGGCAGGGGGCUGGAAUUAGAUGGUCUUUAUGGUCCUUUCCAUCCCAAACUGUUGUGUGUUUCUGUGAUUCUGUGGUUGCUGCUGACUCCAAUGCUGCCCACAACUCUGGGGCUUUCUGGUCCCAGGGGUGACCAAGCCCACCCCUGCAGACCUUGGUAAGAGGUGACAAAUCACCACAUGACGCUCACCACUGAAGGCCCCAGGUGGGGCACGGGCUGAAGGCUGUUUCACUGUCACACGAAUGAGUCAGCCUCCUGUGUCAGUGCGUUUCUUAAUUUAGAUGUACCCUGCCACGCUUCCUCUCGACGUUCAUCCCCGCGCCCAGCCUCGCUCCGUCCCCACCACUGAGGCACUUGCUUUAUUGCUGGUUCUCUGAUGCCCUCCUGUGACUUACUGAAGGUGACUGACAGCACUGGUGUGUCACUGGCAGGUGAGGAGGGGCUGCGUCACGACAGAAAACAUCUCCACAGCGUGAGCAGACAAGUGACACGAAUCGCUGUAGGAACAUCACUGACAGCGCUAAGAGCUUACUCCAGAGCUGGGCUCACAUAUGAUCCUCGUAUCACCGAGGUGUUGCCCAAAUGAUUUUGGAACCAAGGCCUCUGAUUACCCAGUUAUCCAGUUAUCACAUCUCCCAGCUUAAUUAAUAUAUAUACAAUACAAUUAAUGCACAACAACCGUACUCAAAUAAUUACUAAAUGCUGUGCUUUCACGUAAUGGGUCUCAGCACUGAAGGUCCCUCCUGCUAACUACCGAGGCCGUAGGUGACGAUUUCAUUUCCAAAUUGAAAUCUUAGUAAUUUCCCGUGAAGGAUAUAAUGGUGCUCCUAAAAUACAGCCCCCUCGAUCGCUGCUUGAAGUGGGAGCACGGGAGCGGUGAUGUGCCCACCCUGCUCGGCUGACUGUGUCUCUGGCUGCUGGUUGCUUGCUGCGCUGUCUGAAAGGUUAAUGGUGAACCUAUGGAGCUAGCCAUGGAGGGAAAGACAUGCCAUUUUAUUAUUAUUAUUAAUUCUUUUCAUUAUCAUAGCUCCUAGCAGCGGAGGCACAGAAUGGGUCCCUGCUGGGGAAGGCACAAGGCAGGCAAUCCCUGCCCCAAGCUGCUUAAAAGUGGAGCGGAAAGCUUCGGAGAGCAGAGCCUAGGUCUCUACCUUCCUCCUGCAGCACUGACAACAUGAAAAUCAAGGCUUAUUGCCUGACAGAUGUUUCCAUAAAGCAAUAAAAUGAGC